GUUGUAUGGUUAAGUGACUAAGCGUACACGGUGGAUGCCUUGGCAGUCAGAGGCGAUGAAAGACGUAAUAACUUGCGAUAAGCCCAGAUUAGGUAGUAAUAACCUUUUGAGUCUGGGAUUUCUGAAUGGGGAAACCCACGUGCAUAAGCACGUAUCCUGUUGUGAAUACA
rnacentral:rRNA from 1 species